rnacentral:rRNA from 1 species
ACGCUCGACACCUACGGGGGCAGCAGUAGGGAAUCUUCCACAAUGGGCGCAAGCCUGAUGGAGCAACACCGCGUGAGUGAAGAAGGGUUUCGGCUCGUAAAGCUCUGUUGUUGGAGAAGAACGUGCGUGAGAGUAACUGUUCACGCAGUGACGGUAUCCAACCAGAAAGUCACGGCUAACUACGUGCCUGCAGCCGCGGUAAUCUGAGCGGGCUGGCAAGGC